CCUACGGGUGGCAGCAGUAGGGAAUUUUGCACAAUGGGCGAAAGCCUGAUGGAGCAACGCCGCGUGGUGGAUGAGGGCUUUGGGUCGUAAAACCCUGUUGUUAGAGGAGAAAGUGCGUGAGAGUAACUGUUUACGUUUCGACGGUAUCUAACCAGGAAGCCACGGCUAACUACGUGCCAGCAGCCGCGGUAAUACGUAGGUGGCAAGCGUUAUCCGGAUUUAUUGGGCGUAAAGGGAACGCAGGCGGUCUUUUAAGUCUGAUGUGAAAGCCUUCGGCUUAACCGGAGUAGUGCAUUGGAAACUGGGAGUCUUGAGUACAGAAGAGGAGGGUGGAACUCGAGGUGUAGCGGUGAAAUGCGUAGAUAUAUGGAAGAACACCAGUGGCGAAGGCGGCUCUCUGGUCUGUAACUGACGCUGAGGUUCGAAAGCGUGGGUAGCAAACAGGAUUAGAUACCCGAGUAGUC
rnacentral:rRNA from 1 species